GUUUGAAAAAGAUAAAAAAAAUCUCAAACAUGGUGGAACAUGUACUAUCUAUCUUUUCAACAAAUCAGGAAAAAUUUCAUGGCUACCCCUACUGUGUUGAAUUAUCAUAUGAAAUUUUAGAUAGGUUAAAUGAAGUAGGACCUUUACCAAAUGAAGUGCUCACCACCUAUGAUUACAAAAGUUUAUACUCCUCAAUAAGAAUUUAACUUACAAUCCUUGCACUACAACAUUUGAUAUUAGGAAUAUAUAGAUGAGGAUCACAUGGUCAGAGAAGUGAGAUAGAACUCUGUUAUGUAAUAUACCAUUGUUCAUGCUUCAUAUUUGAUGGAAAAUUUACUUUCAAAUAAGAGGCUUUCUGAUAAAAAAUCCUAUGCCUCCCUACAGAAAUGGUUCUUCACAUGAAUGGGAGAAAAUUGUAGAUAUGCUAAAGAAUAAAAUCCAUUUAUACUCUUGCUACAUAGAUGAUAUAUUUAUAGCUUGGUUCAAUCUUGAAUUCAUAGACAAGUUUGCCAAAAUUAUGAAUGAUAAAUCCAUAGGCAUAAAGCUACAGUUGAACCAAAAAAUAAACAACAGGUACAUUAUCUGGAUGUAGCAAUACAGAUAGUAGAUGCCAAUUAUAUGAUGGCAGUAUAUAAAAAAACUAUUGUAUCAUUCAAUAUCCAUACAUAAGAACUCAUAUGACCCAUAUGGAUACAAAAUGGCAUCUCUCUCUCUUCCUUAGAUUAUAUAGACACUUUAUCAUUCAAAAGAACAAUGAUGAUGAAAUUAAUCUCAUUCUCAAACAGGAGCAAAAUUUGUUACUCUAGACAUGAAAUGGAGAUGUUUUAUAAAGAAGAGAGAAUCAUAGGUGACCAUGGAUAAAGUAGCUCAGAGGAUGGUGAUAGCAGUAAUGAUUGUUUUAGCAAUAUGACAUCUUAUGUUUUUGGACAGAUAUAUAAUAAGUUAGAAGAGGUAUCCAAUAAGAAAAUUAGCUUUAAGAGGAACAGCUAUAUUCCAACUACCAAGGAAUGAUUGUCUCUUAUAUCAACUUUACAAAACAUAGGAUGUACUGGAUAUCACUGUACAGUCACACAUUACAACAAGAGGAGGAAUAUAUAGGAUACACAUUGAGGAAUUUAAAGAGCAGGAAUUUUGAAACACAAAAAAUAAGGAUGUGUAACAAGGCAAUAUGGAUACAGCUUUUGCAAUAAAACAUGAUUUAGAAGACAAAUG
rnacentral:lncRNA from 1 species